AACGCGAAGAACCUUACCUACCCUUGACAUGUCAAGAAUUUCGCAGAGAUGUGGAAGUGCUCGAAAGAGAACUUGAACACAGGUGCUGCAUGGCCGUCGUCAGCUCGUGUCGUGAGAUGUUGGGUUAAGUCCCGCAACGAGCGCAACCCUUGUCAUUAGUUGCUACGAAAGGGCACUCUAAUGAGACUGCCGGUGACAAACCGGAGGAAGGUGGGGAUGACGUCAGGUCCUCAUGGCCCUUAUGGGUAGGGCUACACACGUCAUACAAUGGCCGGUACAGAGGGUCGCCAACCCGCGAGGGGGAGCCAAUCCCAGAAAACCGGUCGUAGUCCGGAUCGCAGUCUGCAACUCGACUGCGUGAAGUCGGAAUCGCUAGUAAUCGCGGAUCAGCUUGCCGCGGUGAAUACGUUCCCGGGUCUUGUACACACGC
rnacentral:rRNA from 1 species